rnacentral:snRNA from 1 species
GUACUUGCUUUGGCAGCACAUAUACUAAAAUCGGAAAAAUACAGAGAAGAUUAGCACAUCCCCUGCGCAAGGAUGACACACAAAUUCACGGAGCAUCCCAUAGUUUU